AUUGAACGCUGGCGGCAUGCCUUACACAUGCAAGUCGAACGGCAGCACGGGGGCAACCCUGGUGGCGAGUGGCGAACGGGUGAGUAAUGCAUCGGAACGUGUCCUCUUGUGGGGGAUAACCAGUCGAAAGAUUGGCUAAUACCGCAUGAGAUCGAGAGAUGAAAGCGGGGGACCCGAGGGUAACUUCGGGCCUCGCGCGAGAGGAGCGGCCGAUGCCGGAUUAGCAGUUGGUGGGUAAGAGCCUACCAAGCGACGAUCCGUAGCUGGUCUGAGAGGACGACCAGCCACACUGGGACUGAGACACGGCCCAGACUCCUACGGGAGGCAGCAGUGGGAAGUUUUGGACAAUGGGCGCAAGCCUGAUCCAGCCAUGCCGCGUGUGUGAAGAAGGCC
rnacentral:rRNA from 1 species